rnacentral:rRNA from 1 species
GACGGGGCCCGCACAAGCGGUGGAGUAUGUGGUUUAAUUCGAUGCAACGCGAAGAACCUUACCUGGGUUUGACAUCCCGCGAAUCUCCAAGAAAUUGGGAGUGCCCCUUCGGGGAGCGCGGAGACAGGUGCUGCAUGGCUGUCGUCAGCUCGUGCCGUGAGGUGUUGGGUUAAGUCCCGCAACGAGCGCAACCCUUGUUGCCAGUUGCCACCAGGUAAAGCUGGGCACUCUGGCGAGACUGCCCGGGUCAACCGGGAGGAAGGUGGGGACGACGUCAAGUCAUCAUGGCCCUUACAUCCAGGGCUACACACGUACUACAAUGGCAGAUACAAAGGGUUGCCAAGCCGCGAGGCUGCGCCAAUCCCAGAAAGUCUGUCUCAGUCCGGAUUGCAGUCUGCAACUCGACUGCAUGAAGCUGGAAUCGCUAGUAAUCCCGGAUCAGCAUGCCGGGGUGAAUACGUUCCCGGGCCUU